rnacentral:rRNA from 1 species
CAGAUGAAGGGUGACGCUGGCGGCAGGCCCAUCACAUGGCUAGUCCUGAUACGGUAACAGGGAGCAGCUUGCUGCUCUGCUGACGAGUGGCGGACGGGUGAGUAAUGUCUGGGAAACUGCCUGAUGGAGGGGGAUAACUACUGGAAACGGUAGCUAAUACCGCAUAACGUCUACGGACCAAAGUGGGGGACCUUCGGGCCUCAUGCCAUCAGAUGUGCCCAGAUGGGAUUAGCUAGUAGGUGGGGUAACGGCUCACCUAGGCGACGAUCCCUAGCUGGUCUGAGAGGAUGACCAGCCACACUGGAACUGAGACACGGUCCAGACUCCUACGGGAGGCAGCAGUGGGGAAUAUUGCACAGUGGGCGCUUCGGUUUAAAAAAUACUUUCCGCAAAAAAAAAUGUUUUUUGGUUUAAAACCCCCCGUGUUUAAUUUUCCCAAAGAAAAUCCCCCCUAUUUUGCUGGAUUCCUCGGAGGUAAAAAACAAGGGAAGGGUCCUUCCCCUUUUGAUUAAAUGGAAACCCAAGGGCCCCCCCGGUUGGGGGGGGCCCCCGAAAUUUAUUUCCCG